UAUUUUAAUCCCAGGUGAAGUUGUGGAGAUUUUGUAUAGUUUAGACACAACUUAAACCCAGGUCUGUUUUAUGUACAUAGAUGUUUGAUUGUUUAUAUAUGAAUACUUUUCCAAAUGAACAUAGUCUACUUGUAAAAUGGUCUCUCAUAUAUUGUAUAUUUGAAUUUGUAUACCCAGUACAUGUAGAAUUGUGGUAUGAAUACUUGUUUUUUUUUAAUGAUACUAUAGUAUCCAUGAUGGUGUACAUGAUGUGCAAGCAGUUUUCUUUUUUUAAAGAAAAUGUAUUUUAUACAACGUAAAAGAAGAGUAUACUGCACAUAUUAAAUGAAAAAUAUUAUAUUUCUAAAAUAAUCCAAGUUGAUUUUAUGCAUUUUCAGAUUUUUUUGUUUAUAACUCCUUUUCCCGCCAUGAGUUGUUUUAAUGUGUUUAAAAAUCUAGUUAUGAGAUUGAUGUUACGUGUACAGCUUUUAUAUUUGAUCAUUGUUUUCUGGACACAGAUUGUGAUCUUGGAACAUAAAUGAUAAGUUGUUUAUAUGUCCAGUGUUUGUGUGCAUUUUUUGCAUGCCUUUUUUUAAUGUUUUAUUGUAAUGGUUAUCUUUAUAUGAUAUACAUGUAUAGCCUUUUUCUAGAUAUAAUUAUAUUAUUCACAUUAGAAACCAGCCUCCAACCACAACACACCGACAGAAACAGUCGCUGUUGUAGAAUAAAAUUUACAAAAUC
rnacentral:misc_RNA from 1 species